AGCAGUCAUCAGUUCAGGAGCUGCUAAAAUGAACAGACUCUUCUUGCUUAAUGUAUUGUUCUGCAUCGUAUAUGAGAUUCCAGCACAGCGCAUUGUCCAGCCACAUCUAUCAGUGACAGCCCAGCUUGGAGAGUCUGUGACCCUGGAGUGCUCUGUAGUUAGCACUCUUCACACCACUAAGGCUUGGUUCAAGCAAAUCACUGGACAGCCUCCUAUUUGUAUACUAAAAGAUGAUGGAAAGGUAGAGCCUACCUUUUAUGAAGAAUUUAAUAAUAAAUCACGUUUCCAACUGCAAAACAAUGGCAACAGUUUUAACCUCACAAUUUUAAAGACGGAAUCGUCGGAUAUGGCUGUUUAUUACUGCGGAGCAGUGAUAUACAGUCGUGUGCUUUUUGGGACUGGAACUGCACUGCUGCUUAAAGGAAGGAUUAUUCAGCCUUGUAUUUCUGAAUCGGUGCAGACUAACGGUUGUGCAAUGGUGACAUGUGGGGAGAUCAGUAAUGGAAAUGGAACCAAGGAGGACAGUACGGCAGGAUAUUUGACUCCUCCUGUCAUUGUGUUGGCUGGGACAAACAUCGUGCUGCUGAUUUCAAUGACUGUGCUUGUGUGCCUGCGCAUCAAGGAAGGGAAAUCUGGGAGCUCAUAA